rnacentral:tRNA from 1 species
GCCGGGGUAGUUCAGUGGCAGAACGCUUUCUUGGUAAGAAAGAGGUCAUGGGUUCAAUUCUCAUCCUCGGCU